CAGUUCGUUGUGCCUAUUGAAUGGGUAGCAUCACUCGGUGGUCAACACCACUGACUUUGGUAUGGCAGGAUCGGGGUUCACUUCCCCUUUCAAGGCACGAAUUCCAGCCGUGGGUCCUUAGGCAAGGCCCUUAAUGCCAACUGCCUAAUGAGGCUCAGGCUUGCUGGUUUCAGGAUUCACAUGAGUAAAAAAGCCAGUCAGAGUAAUUAAUCAAAACAUCAUGACUCCAUGGCAUUAGCAGCGAAAUAUACCUAAAUUACCAAAGAUCCUGAUUCUUCAAAUGGCAAAAACAAGGCAUCCAUGGCUCUGGGGUUCAUCCUUGAAGCUGCAAAGAAACCUGACUUUCCAUCCAGGUACUCUAUGCAGUCUUGUUUUGCUUUUGAUAUUAACUAAGUAACUUCCAUGCACUUAAAACUACAUCAGUGUUCAAGUGUAUAGUAGUAAAACACUUCUCUAAAAUAUCAAAUUAGGCUUCAUAGUUGUAGUUACUUCUGCUUUUCAGACUGCAUGUGGGUUUUCACUCAUUUUAAGGGCAAUUGUAGAAUUUAAGAAUAUCUGUAUAAUACUGAAACACUGCACGUCUUAGUUUGAUAACAGUUUUGUUUUUGGGCAAGUUUAAGAGUGAGUGGGGACAAUGGACCUGAGAUUGUGGUAAGGGAAGCUUCAGGAAGAAGUGUCCCCAACCAAAGAACAUCUUAAAGUGAGCAGUUCUUCCUUAUUUUGUUUGCCUACUUCAGUGGAUUGUCCUCCAGUUUUUUUUAACGUAGUAUUGAGAUGGGCCAAAAGUUUACAGAACAAAAUAACUUAGUCUAUUUUGUAUCUGUUUUCCCCACAGCCUGCCUCCAAUCCAAGAUGAUCUUGACACUGAGGGAUGGAACAACCCUUCCACAGGACACAGCUGUGGGAAAUGGGAAGACUCAGUCCUGUCAUGAGGAUACUGAGAUAAGAGAGACUGUUUGACACAUUUUUCAUAAAAACAACUUGUGGUCUAAUCCCACAAAAUAUUUCAGUCUUCAUAAAUAUUUUCAUUUCAGGGGGCCCAUUUUUCCAGCUGUGGAUCAUGGAGUACAGUGAAGAACUAAGAGACCUGAUAUCUUAGAUGUUAAAAGCAGAACC